GCACUCACUUCAGCAGCCCAGGUACUGAAAUUGGAACAAUACGGAGAUUAUCCUGGUUCCUGUGCAAGGAUGACACACAAAUUCAUGAAGCAUUCCAUAUUUUU